UUCUCGUCACAUCCGUCUCUCGCGUUCUCCUCUAGUUUCUUCCGCAUGCAUCCCCAUCUGAGCUCGCCAUCAACAUUGUCGCAUCUAUCCUCUCCGACUUCUUCGCCUAGAUUCAACCUGCUGCACACCAUGCUUCCUUCCCACCUCGUUGCCGGCCACACUAUCCACCGCAUGGCCCAGAUCCAAAUCGAAACUCAUGCAUGACCUGCUCCACAAUGCGGCCCCGGCGACCUCGUCCGUGUGGCAUCCUUGCCAGACAGUAGAAGGUGGUUGUGCCCGCCAUCUCCACCGCUGCAUCACCAGGUUGCAUGGAGGCUGUAGGGUGUGCCCACCAUCUCCACCACCCCUCGACUGGUGAACCAGCAGUUGUCUCUGAUAGUCUGUUCGUCCUUUUUUGUUCUUUGAUCUCAAAUACAAUUUUACUAUAAUUGAUGGUAAUGUAUUUUAAUUGAUUCCAUGUUUUAAUCAUGCUCUGCCUCAUUUUUAUGCGUGCAGAAACAUAGAACCAACCAAUUUGGAUAGAAUUUGUAUGCAGAUCCGAAUGAUGCACCUGCAUGUUGGCAAUACUUAUUAUCAAUUUCUAGUUUCUGUUUUUAUGCUUCCAGGGGCAUGACUUAUAUUGAGAUAGCAUGAAAUUGAUGCUUCCAGAUAUCCAUGCUUCCUAAUCCAAUAUAUGUUUCUUAGUACAGUUAAUUUACCGCAAUAGAACCAUGCCUCGAAAUAUUCAUUCUUAAGCAUCCAACGUUUUUGGUACAUGUAUUUUGAACCUUCUUUCUAGCACUAGUUGUUGAUCCCCACCUUCUAUUGCUAUACAUCAUGCCUAAACGUUUUAGCGAAAUGUUUCUGUGCGGCGCGCCGGCGCAACGCUCGGGCCGGUCGCUCGUGCGUUGUACGAUAGAAACACCCCUGGCCACUCGUUUUGUGGGUCCUAGCACCGCCCAGCCCUCCCAUCCUUAUCUCCUCCUCCCGCAUCUCUCUUCCUCCACUUCUUUUUCCAUCGUCAGCCAUGGGAGCGGCAGCCCCAAUCUUGCUCAUCUCCUUCCUCUCUCUACUCCUCCCUCCCCUACCCCCUGAGCUAAAGAGGCUAUUGACAGCGCCCGCACCACACCCUUCAGAGCUGCUGCAAAGGGAGGAGUUGCACAGCCAGGACGCACUCGUCACUAUGGGUCGCCCAGGUGAGCUCGUCGCCAUGUCGUGCACGUCAUCGUUCUUGACUGUUGCGACCGCACCUCCUGCUGAUGCCCUCCUUUUCUGGGUAGGGGACGGCGAGCGGGGGGUGCUGCAAGCAGCGGAGGACGGGGCUACAAGCGGGGCGGCCACCACCAACCACCGAUGUGUAUUCGCGGUGGAGAUGCUGCUACCCCGGUGCGGCGGAGCUACAACCGUAGGCCGGUGGAGUUGCAACCAGCAAAAAAAAUGCUGGAACCGGUGAUAGCCGUGUUGUGAUGGCCAUGGCUGCGAUUCAUCGUUGCUGGGACCAGCAAAUUUUUUUGCUGGAAACAGCGAUUUUUUUUGCUACGACCCCAGCGACGAUGAUUCAUAGUUUGCUGGAACGACAAGUACUUUUGCUGGAACCAUUUUCUUUUUUUGUUGCAAGCAUAAUUUCUUUUUGUUAUGACCGUUUUGAUUUUUGCUGGAACAAACAUCCAUUAUUUUUGUUACCAUCGUCUUGGAUUUUUUUGGUGGAACCGGUGUAUUUUUGUGCUACAACUGUUCUUCAAUUUUGCUGGAACCAACCCACCUUUUUUGUUUGCGAUUUUCAUGAUGGCGAGCGUGCGGACGAUGAGCGUCGACGGCAAGCGAUUGGCCAUCGCCACCGGAGCUGCAACCGUCGCUAUCAGAGCUGCAAUUGCAGGCCACAGCUGUUGCAUGCAUGGAGUCAGAGACAAGUGCAGGCGGCGACCGGUGACAAGGACAUCCGGCGAGGGCGGCCGAUGAGGUGCGGUGACCGGCGACGAGGACAUCCAGCGUGGGCGGCUAGGACAAAGGGAGCGAUGACCCUGGAAGACAAAGGGAGCAAUGAGAGGCAUGGGGUCUUUUUUCAUACGCGCUCGUGCGGCAGACAACUACAUCGAUCGUACGACUGCAGACGACUUAAUCAGACGGCUGAAAGUGGACCGGCCGAAUGAUUAGGCCGGUGCGCCGGCGCCUAUUAGUCGCCAACGUUUUAUGCAUCAAAGGUGCUUAAAGGUCGCCGAUGCCAGCCGAGUGACAAGCUAGCCAACUGGCCCGAGGAGCUCAAGGAUGGCGGCACCCAGUGGCAUGCAGACGAAUCACGAUGGCAACGAUGGGCCUGCUUGCUUGCCAACAGAUGGAAAUAACAAGCUACAUGGAAAGUUGGGCGCCGCGGUAGACAUAUAUAGAAGCAUACAUGGAAGCAACCCAUGCAUGCACCUAGAAGUGUGAUGAGACAUGGAUCUUCCCUACAAUGAAGAGGACCACAUGCGAAGAGAAGCAAGUUUACAAUCUAUAGGAACAUAUGAUAUUAACUUAGAAGCAGUGUACAUACUAUUGGAGACUUGGAAGAAAAUAACCUUGUAUCAUGCCUUGAACUUAGUAUAUGAAUGAAUGAAGCAGGAAACGAACUUCUUUUCUGUUGGAGACAAA